rnacentral:rRNA from 1 species
UACAGAGGGUGCGAGCGUUGUCCGGAAUCACUGGGCGUAAAGGGCGCGUAGGUGGCGGCCCAAGUCCAUGGUGAAAGCUCGAUGCUCAACAUCGAGUCGGCCACGGAUACUGGGUUGCUCGAGCACUGUAGAGGCAGAUGGAAUUCCGGGUGUAGCGGUGGAAUGCGUAGAGAUCCGGAAGAACACCGGUGGCGAAGGCGGUCUGCUGGGCAGUAGCUGACACUGAGGCGCGGACAGCGUGGGGAGCAAACAGG